rnacentral:rRNA from 1 species
UACGAAGGAUGCGAGCGUUAUCCGGAUUUAUUGGGUUUAAAGGGAGCGUAGGCGGUCUUAUAAGUCAGUGGUGAAAUCCUAUCGCUUAACGAUAGACGUGCCAUUGAUACUGUAGGACUUGAGUACAGAUGCCGUUGGCGGAAUGUGUCAUGUAGCGGUGAAAUGCAUAGAUAUGACACAGAACACCGAUUGCGAAGGCAGCUGACGAAACUGUAACUGACGCUGAGGCUCGAAAGCGUGGGGAUCAAACAGG